ACUCCAGUCUGGCUCUGUGCGGCGACAUCUGAGGUGUAGUAUAGGUGGAAGCGCAAGCGCAAAUGAAAUACCACCACUCGGAACGUUGCUUCACUUAUCGAAUGAAGAGACCAAUGGGAUUGGCACAGCCCUCGGGCUGCGCACCGUCUUGGUUUGGGACUUCUGGCGGGUACCCCCCGCCACCACGGGAGGGGCCAUCGCGCGCCUCUUUCCUCCGCCUUCGGGCGGGGGCCCGUGGGCACCCAACCGUGCUGCAUUCUGAUCCAACGGCGUCGCUUCGGUGGCGCCGGAGUCUUGUUUCGAGACAUCUGCCAGAUGGGGAGU
rnacentral:ncRNA from 1 species